CGAGGGAUAGACAAUUAUUCGCUGGCCGGACCGGCGCGACGGGUGACGUAACACGUAUAACAAUCUCGUCCUUUUACGAGGGGGAUAGCCUUUCGAAAGAGAGAUUAACUACCCCAUAAUAGUUGACCGGGCAUCUGGUUGAUUUGAAAGCUCCGGCGGUAAGAGAUGAGUAUGCGCCUGAUUAGCUAGUAGGUGAGGUAACGGCUCACCUAGGCUACGAUCAGUAGGGGAUCUGAGAGGACUAACCCCCACACGGAUACUGAGACACGGAUCCGACUCCUACGGGAGGCAGCAGUAAGGAAUAUUGGACAAUGCCCGCAAGGGUGAUCCAGCCAUGCCGCGUGCAGGAAGAAGGCCCUAUGGGUCGUAAACUGCUUUACACCGGAGAAAACCUCCCCUCGUGAGGGGAGCUGAUAGUAUGGUGAGAAUAAGCAUCGGCUAACUUCGUG
rnacentral:rRNA from 1 species